rnacentral:antisense_RNA from 1 species
AGAGAGUAGCUGUGGUCUCCUGCGUGCUCACCCUCCGCUCCCUUGGGUCCAUGCUUUGGUCCUGCACUUAAAUUUUACAAGCAUACUCUCUUUCUCUUAAGGUAGCCACUCCCAGUCAAGGACUGUAUGAGUUGCCCAGAGCAAGACAUUUUAGGAUAUGGUACAUAGCUGGGAGCCUGCCAACUCCUGGUUUUGUCAUUACCCUCAGAACUCCAGAAUGUAAGCUCCAUGAAGGAGAGUUGGGCAUGUGGGGAAUAAUGGGACAGGAGAUGACGGUAAUGAAUUAAAACAGAAUGGAAUGGAAUGGAAUGGAAAGCCUAGCGCAGGGCUUGGUUUGGAAGAAGAGGGUCCAGUAUUAUAGCAGGAAAAAGGAAGACUCUCAUUUUUGCCUCGGUGACAAAGUUAAGGAUGCACCUCCAACAAAACAAUUCUUACAUGGAAUCCUAGGGUCUUUGGAACAUGGUUUGAACACCAACAGCUUUGAGAAGGAAG